GCACUAAUGGUGUAGUGGUAACAUAUAACACUUCCAAUGUUGUGCCGGGGGUUCGAUUCCCUCUUAGUGCA
rnacentral:tRNA from 9 species